GAUGAACGCUAGCGAUAGGCCUAACACAUGCAAGUCGAGGGGCAUCACAUGAAGUAGCAAUACGGAUGGUGGCGACCGGCGCACGGGUGAGUAACACGUAUGCAACCUGCCUUCAACAAGGGGAUAACCCGUUGAAAGACGGACUAAUACCCUAUAACACAGGGGUCCCGCAUGGGGAAUAUUUGUUAAAGGCAACCGGUUGAAGAUGGGCAUGCGUUCCAUUAGCUAGUUGCGGGGUAACGGCCCACCAAGGCAACGAUGGAUAGGGGAACUGAGAGGUUUAUCCCCCACACUCGGUACGUCAGACACGGACCGACACUCCUACCGGGAAGGGCAGCGAGUGGAGGAAGUAAUUGGUUCGAAUAGGACGGCCAAGUACGUGAACCGAACGCCGACCGUCGCGUGAAGGAAAGACGGCCCGUACCGGUUGGUAAACUUACCUUUUAUUAACGGGAAGUAAAUGGCCCACCGCGUGGGGUUUGGUCAUGUCCGUAUGAUAAGAGUCGCGUAACUACCG
rnacentral:rRNA from 1 species